rnacentral:rRNA from 1 species
AUUGAACGCUGGCGGCAUGCUUUACACAUGCAAGUCGAACGGUAACAGGUCUUCGGUUGCUGACGAGUGGCGCACGGGUGAGUAAUACAUCGGAACGUGCCUAGUAGUGGGGGAUAACUACUCGAAAGAGUAGCUAAUACCGCAUGAGAUCUACGGAUGAAAGCAGGGGACCUUCGGGCCUUGUGCUACUAGAGCGGCUGAUGGCAGAUUAGGUAGUUGGUGGGGUAAAGGCUUACCAAGCCUGCGAUCUGUAGCUGGUCUGAGAGGACGACCAGCCACACUGGGACUGAGACACGGCCCAGACUCCUACGGGAGGCAGAAGUGGGGAAUUUUGGACAAGGGGCGAAAGCCUGAUCCAGCAAUGCCGCGUGCAGGAUGAAGGCCCUCGGGUUGUAACUGCUUUUGUACGGAACGAAAAGCCUGGGGCUAAUAUCCCCGGGUCAUGACGGUACCGUAAGAAUAAGCACCGGCUAACUACGUG